rnacentral:lncRNA from 1 species
GACCGCAACUUGUAAAUUUUUGUGGCUAUUUUAUUAUCAAUAAUGAUGUUUGGACACUAGGUGUGCAAUACACCUCCAAAAAACCGCCGGUUUUCCUACUUACUCCAAAUGGGCUGAUUUUUAGUAAUUUAUUGAUUUACUAAUUUAUCCUUUAUUAGAUAUAUUGUUUUAUUAUUUUGUUUUUUUUUUCUGUGUUAUGAUUUUUGAAAUUUAUGGUUUUUUUAUUUCCUAAUUUUUCGGUUUUUUGUUUCCUUAUAUUUUCCAACUUUUUAAAAAAAAAAUUAAUAUUAUUUAUUUUUAUUGAUGAUUAAAUUAUUUAUUUAUAUUCUAAAAUUGUGUUUUAUUUUGUUUCCACUAAUUUUAUGAUUCUCUUUAAAAAAAAAUCUUUUUUUUGUUUCCACAUAUUAUUUUUUUAUUGUUUCGAAAAUAUUUUUUUUCUGAAUUUUUUGUAUUUUUCGAAAAUUAUAUAUUCUUUUUUUUGUUUCCACAUAUUAUUUUUUUAUUGUUUCGAAAAUAUUUUUUUCUGAAUUUUUUGUAUUUUUCGAAAAUUAUAUAUUUUUUUAUUUGUUUCCACUAAUUUGGAUAUUCUCCUAAAAAUAAUC